rnacentral:misc_RNA from 1 species
GGAAAGUCCAGAUAAGGAUCCUUAACUGAAUUUUUCUUGGCUGUUUUUCUAUCUUGGCUACCUAUGAUUGCUAAUUAGGGCUCAAGAACAGAGAACCCAAUGAUCUUAAAAAAUCUGAGAUUUCUGUGGAAAAUACUGCUUACAUUCAACACUGUAACAUAGUAAUAAAUAUAACAUAGGAAUUUGGAGAACUGCUCCUAAAAGUUCUUAUAAUUCUCAGUAUCCUUAACUGACAUAUGUUCCUAAGCCUUAGGAUCCAUUUGACUUAGUUCAAUUGACCAAUAAACAACUACUACAAUACUCAACUCAACUAAGCUUUUA